AUGGUGAGGGGACUGGAGGAGUCGGGAUCAUUGUGGGGAGGGGAGAAUGAUUAUGUGCUCUGGGCCCUGUUCCCUCUCUCCUCGCUCCCCCACCAAACUGAGGAAAGAAAGGGGAGGAGGAGUGUGGAGCACCUUCGGCCUUGCCCCAGGGAACCUGGUGACCUCUUUCAGUGCCUGACCUCUGGAGACUGGGAAUCUCAACUUAAAUCCAAAGCAUCUACUCCUGUGCAGGAUAUUUGGAGGAAGAUUCAUCCCAUGAUCUGCAAAUGUCAUGGGA
rnacentral:lncRNA from 1 species